GUGUAGCUGUUAGCAUGUGUAGCUGUUAGCAUGUGUAGCUGUUAGCAGCCACGUGUCGUCGCGUGCUUGGAUAAUCUAGUCUCGUGACUGUGUCUCUAUUUUUCUGUGUAGGAGCAGGAGCUUCACGUCAGACCUCCACCAACCACAUGUUUGUUCUCUAACAGAAACUCUGUGAACCACACAGUCUUUCUGGUGGAUCAAGUUCAGCAGAAGACGAUUCAAAAGCUGCAAAAACAUUUAGAUUGCCAGAGAAGUGAUGAAGACUUUCCUGAUAUUCCAGCAUCAGGUUUGAAAGAUCCAAACUGGAAAUCAUAAAGUAAAGAGGAAUGGGUCAACAGAUACUGACUGCAUCAGGUUUGGUCCUGAAGGUUUGAUUUCAACAUUCUAAUAGACUUAUGCAUUAUUGUCCAACAAGGAAGUGACUAAAAAUAGUUCACUCUGAAGAUAAUAAUAUUUUAAAGUACAAAGGUUGUUAAGAAGGUGAAGAGGAGACGAAUAAUAUCUGAUUGGUUGAGCUGAGAAAUGAAAAGGCUGAAUGUGAUUCAAAUAAGUGAUAAAGUUCACAAUCACAUUUGACUCUUCAAGAGAAUUGUGUGUAAAUAAAUCAAACAAUGAUGUGUUUGAAGCUUUAAGGUCAAAAUGCAGG